rnacentral:sRNA from 1 species
AGCUCGACCGGGUCCACGGCCCGGCUGGUGAGCAGGUAGUCCCGCAUGACGAUGCCGUGCCGGCCCUC